rnacentral:rRNA from 1 species
AGCGCAGGCGGGAAACUAAGCGGAUCUUAAAAAGUGCGGGGCUCAACCCCCGUGAUGGGGUCCGAACUGGUUUUCUUGAGUGCAGGAGAGGAAAGCGGAAUUCCCAGUGUAGCGGUGAAAUGCGUAGAUAUUGGGAAGAACACCAGUGGCGAAGGCGGCUUUCUGGACUGUAACUGACGCUGAGGCUCGAAAGCUAGGGUAGCGAACG